rnacentral:SRP_RNA from 1 species
GUUCGGGUCCCGCGCGACGGUCCCCUCCGAACCGUGUCAGAUCCGGAAGGAAGCAGCACUCAGGAGAAAGGCCCGGGCGCCGCGGAUCGCCCGGACUCA